rnacentral:tRNA from 1 species
GUAGUUAUGGCCUAGUGGUUAAGGCGAUGGACUUGAAAUCCAUUGGGGUGUCCCCGCGAAAGGUCGAAUCCUGCCAGCUACG